GCGCCUGUAGCUCAGCUGGAUAGAGUACCGCCCUCCGAAGGCGGGGGUCGUGGGUUCGAAUCCCGCCAGGCGCGCCA
rnacentral:tRNA from 1 species